AUCCUGAUGACGAGUUCCAAAUAGGACAAAAUGUGCGUUUUGGAU
rnacentral:hammerhead_ribozyme from 1 species